UACAGGGGGUGCAAACGUUGCUCGGAAUCAUUGGGCGUAAAGCGCACGUAGGCGGUCUGUUAUGUCGGAUGUGAAAGCCCUUGGCUCAACUGAGGAAGUGCAUCCGAAACUGGCAGGCUAGAGUACUAAAGAGGGUCGCGGAAUUCCCGGUGUAGAGGUGAAAUUCGUAGAUAUCGGGAGGAACACCGGUGGCGAAGGCGGCGACCUGGGUAGAUACUGACGCUGAGGUGCGAAAGCGUGGGGAGCAACAGG
rnacentral:rRNA from 1 species